AGCAGUCGAUGUAUUUGAAAUAAAUGAAGAUUGCCAAACUUGCUGAGAUUUUAAAGAGUUAAGGUCUGGAAUCUAGCCAUAAUGCUGACACUUCUACCUUGUGCUACGGCUCGAAGAUAGCGAAGGGCCCCUUCUACCUGACUAUUGCUCUCCAGCACUCGGUACGAAGAAAGCUUAAAGUCCUGCUUAAUAGUCCUGUUCUAUUAUCACAGAACAUAUUUCAAAUGGUAAAUUCCAAGUUGGGAAAAAACCUGAACUGCUGACCUGGGCAGAUUCCCACAGAUGAGAGAGAAAUUUUUGAAGUCCAGCCUUCCUGAAGGGAGAUUCCAGCAUGCAAUUGGUGCUAUGGAGAGGGUGAUUCACACAAGCUGGGAUUUGGUUCUCACCUUCAAAGAAAAUGUCCUGAAGUAAAGGAGAGUUUUGGUGCAGUAUUCAAAGGAUACAUUUUCUAGCUGCUGCUUGUGUCUGCUUGUGUUCACUGACUACUUUUCCAGGCUGGAUUCUGCUCCUUCUUGGCUAAGAUUCUGAGGCCUGCUGCCUUCCUUCUUAAGCCUGUGAGGUUCUCUGGUUCCUGUUAGCUUUGUAGGCUACCUUAAGCAUCAGUGACUUCUGAUAUCAUAAGUAUAUACUCUUAUUCCAAUUCUUUGGGUACUUGAUCCUCAACUCAAACACUGUCACCAACUUCCAUACUCAAGGGGAGCCUUUCCCCAUCUUUUUGGUCCCUUGUUCUAAUGCCAGCUCCCCUGUUACACCUCCUGACAUCUGAGCACAUAAGCUGUUGCCCAUGGCCUGGCAAAUUGUUGAGUAAUCAAAUUGUUGAACAUCUUGAUGCUGUCUGGACUACCCCAAAGAUGAAUAUGAAUGAAGCUGCUAUUGAGUUUGAAAAACCUUGAGUCCCUGGUGGAAAAAAAUGGAUAAUCACUAAAGUUACAUAAUUUUGAACUGCGUGCAAUAAUCAGCUCUCCUCUGGAAUCAUAAUGAAAAGAUAUGAUUACACUUUUAAUUAGGAAAUUAUCAUAAUUUGUACUGAAAUAAAAAA
ensembl:lncRNA